rnacentral:rRNA from 1 species
CUGCGGCAGCGACGCUGAUGCGUUGUUGGGUAGGGGAGCGUUCUGUAAGCCUGCGAAGGUGGCCUGUGAGGGUUGCUGGAGGUAUCAGAAGUGCGAAUGCUGACAUAAGUAACGAUAAAGCGGGUGAAAAGCCCGCUCGCCGGAAGACCAAGGGUUCCUGUCCAACGUUAAUCGGGGCAGGGUGAGUCGACCCCUAAGGCGAGGCCGAAAGGCGUAGUCGAUGGGAAACGGGUUAAUAUUCCCGUACUUGGUGUUACUGCGAAGGGGGGACGGAGAAGGCUAUGUUGGCCGGGCGACGGUUGUCCCGGUUUAAGCGUGUAGGUGUGUGUUCCAGGUAAAUCCGGUUCACUUUAACACUGAGGCGUGAUGACGAGGCACUACGGUGCUGAAGCAACAAAUGCCCUGCUUCCAGGAAAAGCCUCUAAGCAUCAGGUAACAUCAAAUCGUACCCCAAACCGACACAGGUGGUCAGGUAGAGAAUACCAAGGCGCUUGAGAGAACUCGGGUGAAGGAACUAGGCAAAAUGGUGCCGUAACUUCGGGAGAAGGCACGCUGACACGUAGGUGAAGUGAUUUACUCAUGGAGCUGAAGUCAGUCGAAGAUACCAGCUGGCUGCAACUGUUUAUUAAAAACACAGCACUGUGCAAACACGAAAGUGGACGUAUACGGUGUGACGCCUGCCCGGUGCCGGAAGGUUAAUUGAUGGGGUCAGCGCAAGCGAAGCUCCUGAUCGAAGCCCCGGUAAACGGCGGCCGUAACUAUAACGGUCCUAAGGUAGCGAAAUUCCUUGUCGGGUAAGUUCCGACCUGCACGAAUGGCGUAAUGAUGGCCAGGCUGUCUCCACCCGAGACUCAGUGAAAUUGAACUCGCUGUGAAGAUGCAGUGUACCCGCGGCAAGACGGAAAGACCCCGUGAACCUUUACUAUAGCUUGACACUGAACAUUGAGCCUUGAUGUGUAGGAUAGGUGGGAGGCUUUGAAGUGUGGACGCCAGUCUGCAUGGAGCCGGCCUUGAAAUACCACCCUUUAAUGUUUGAUGUUCUAACGUGGACCCGUGAUCCGGGUUGCGGACAGUGUCUGGUGGGUAGUUUGACUGGGGCGGUCUCCUCCUAAAGAGUAACGGAGGAGCACGAAGGUUGGCUAAUCCUGGUCGGACAUCAGGAGGUUAGUGCAAUGGCAUAAGCCAGCUUGACUGCGAGCGUGACGGCGCGAGCAGGUGCGAAAGCAGGUCAUAGUGAUCCGGUGGUUCUGAAUGGAAGGGCCAUCGCUCAACGGAUAAAAGGUACUCCGGGGAUAACAGGCUGAUACCGCCCAAGAGUUCAUAUCGACGGCGGUGUUUGGCACCUCGAUGUCGGCUCAUCACAUCCUGGGGCUGAAGUAGGUCCCAAGGGUAUGGCUGUUCGCCAUUUAAAGUGGUACGCGAGCUGGGUUUAGAACGUCGUGAGACAGUUCGGUCCCUAUCUGCCGUGGGCGCUGGAGAACUGAGGGGGGCUGCUCCUAGUACGAGAGGACCGGAGUGGACGCAUCACUGGUGUUCGGGUUGUCAUGCCAAUGGCACUGCCCGGUAGCUAAAUGCGGAAGAGAUAAGUGCUGAAAGCAUCUAAGCACGAAACUUGCCCCGA